CCCUACGGGGGGCAGCAGUGAGGAAUAUUGGUCAAUGGGCGGAAGCCUGAACCAGCCAAGUCGCGUGAGGGAAUAAGGCCCUACGGGUCGUAAACCUCUUUUGCCGGGGAGCAAGGGCGGGGACGUGUCCCGGCCCGGAGAGUACCCGGAGAAAAAGCAUCGGCUAACUCCGUGCCAGCAGCCGCGGUAAUACGGAGGAUGCGAGCGUUAUCCGGAUUUAUUGGGUUUAAAGGGUGCGCAGGCGGGAGAUCAAGUCAGCGGUAAAAUGUCGGGGCUCAACCCCGGCCGGCCGUUGAAACUGGUUU
rnacentral:rRNA from 1 species